CUUCACUCAGACUAGACUGCUCCGUAAACACAGCAAGGGAACGAGUAAUCGUGGCGGCGGGAGUAGUACCCGACUAGUAGUACCGUAGUAGUAGGAGUAGUAGGAGUAUUGGUAGUAGCAGUGGUAGUAGCGUCCACAACAACGGUAACUUAAGACGCCCGCUUCCUGGUUCUGUUGAAUGAACUCUUGGCUUCCCCUCUCUCUCUCUCUCUCUCUCUCUCUCUCUCUCUCUCUCCCCCCCUCUCUCUCUCUCUCUCUCUCUCUCUCUC